UACGAAGGGGGCUAGCGCUGCUCGGAAUUACUGGGCGUAAAGGGCGCGUAGGCGGCGUGUCAAGUCAGGCGUGAAAGCCCCGGGCUCAACCUGGGAACCGCGCUUGAGACUGGCAUGCUCGAGUUCGGGAGAGGAUGGUGGAAUUCCCAGUGUAGAGGUGAAAUUCGUAGAUAUUGGGAAGAACACCGAUGGCGAAGGCAGCCAUCUGGACCGACACUGACGCUGAGGCGCGAAAGCGUGGGGAGCAAACAGG
rnacentral:rRNA from 1 species